rnacentral:lncRNA from 1 species
CCCAUCUGUGAGGCAGAGAUCAUACCAGCUGUCGACUUCUCAGGCUGGCAGGCAUAGCUAUGCCCUGCAGAAAGGCAGCGACUGAGGGGGUGAGCGGGGGCCUCACGCCCUGGAGCAGGGCCAUGCCCACCUGGAGGAAGUGGUGUCUUCUUCUGAUUUGCACAGAUGUGCCUGUGGACUAGCGGCAGCUCUGGGGUCCACGUCAAGCAGGACCACUAUCUUCACCACCACAAUUACUCAUGCUCUAACUGAGGCAGGGAGAUGAACCCGGUAGUCUCCGAGGUCCUUCCAGCCCUGAUAUCAGGAGACGAGAAGCUUCGCCGUGUGAACAGCAAACAGCCUGUUGUCUGGGUUCCUCUGGCCUGCUCCGUCACGGGGAGGCUCCCCAUAAGAUGCUGCGUCCUCUGAGACGGAAACCCUCGGAGCCUCGGCCUGUUGAUUUGGAAGUGGUCCCAGGGCCAUGGGGCAACAGGAGAGCACCCCUGGGGCUCCUUGGGCAGGAGACACAGGGAAACUACAGGAGGGAAAAAGGAAAGAUGGAAGCCACACCAAGGAGGAGAGAGAAGCUUUCGAUGAUGAACCAAGAACGUCAUAGAGUUGGAAUCCUACAGUAUGUAGCCUUUUCAGAUCGGCCUUGUUCACUUGGUAAUAUGCAUUGCUGGGAAAGCUGUACGAGGUCUGGAGCGCGGGGCAUCCCGGGAUCAGCUCCCUGCUGCCACAACCCCACUGGUGUUAUUAGUAUCCUCAUCAGAAUGACGUCUUUUCCAGCAGCUUGUUUCUAGCACGUUUCUGAGUUUCUACAGCCCGUCCAGAUCUAGGCCCCUGGUCACAUCCCAGAGCCACCCCCACCACAGACACAAGGCCCCUCAGUGCCAGGCCCCCUUGGUGGAUCUCAAAUGGUUUUGCAUAAGCCCCACCCCACAUAAGGCAGCAGAAGCAGGCUCUUACCCUAUUCGGCAGAUGGGCAGGCUGUGGCUCAGAGAAGCUGAGUGGCUGGCAUAAAAUGGCACAGGAUCUCCUCUACAACCACCUACAACCACCCUCCAUACAGCAAGCCCCUCAGCUUCCCUUUCCACCCAAAGGUCUGGCUCCCACUCUUGGAUGAAGAGAAGGAGCGUCUGAACCCAAAAUUCCUUACAGCACAAUAGACAACUGAAAAACAACUCAACAGAAUUUUAAUUAUUCACAGAAAACGUGUACUGUGUACAAGGUAUUGAUCAAAGAACUUUAUAAAUACUAACUCAUUUUCUCCUUAUAACUACCUUAAUGAAGCAGGUACAAUUAUUAUCCCCAUUUUAUAGGUGAGGAAACUGAGGCAGGGAGAGAGUAACUGGCCCAGGGCCACACAGCUAGGAGGCCAGAGAGCCGGCAGUGGCCCACACUUUUAGACACUGCACUCUGCUACCUGCGGAUUUUUUGUUUGUACCAUUUUCCAGUUAUUAAUUUUUAAACAGUUUUAUUGAGGUAUAAUUUAAUGGUGUAAUUUAACUUAAGAUUUACCCAUUUUAAGUGUACAAUUAAAUGAUUUCAGUUAAUUUAUAGAAUUGUGCAACCAUUAUAACGAACCAAUUUUGGCACAUUUCCAUCAUCCCAGAAAAGAUCCUUUAUGUCCACUUCCUGUCACUGUUUCAACCUCCAGCCUGAGGCAACCACUAAUCUACUUUCUGUCUCUGUAGAUUUGCCUCUUCUGGAAACUUCAUAAUAAUGAAGUCAGAGAAUGUUGGGUCUUUUGAGUCUGUUUUUGAGGUUGUUCGUUGGGGUAGCAUGUGUCAGCACGUCAUUCCUUUUCAUUGCUGACUAAUAGUCUGUCGUGUGGCUAUCCCACAUUUUGUCUAUCCAUUCA